rnacentral:lncRNA from 1 species
GGAUAAUAGGCGCGGAAGAAUCUAUUAGAAGUUAGUCGAUCUAUUCGUUCAGUGCUCCGUGAAAGGUAAGUAAUGGAUCAUCUUCUCGAGAUAUUCCAUAUUUAUUCUGAAAAUAAAUAAUUAUUCUCUGAAAUUAUGCAUGAUUUAUGAAAUUAUGUUUUGAAAGAAAAGUACUUUCGAAAUGUUAUGGUAUAUCGAUUUAUGCACAUAUUUAGUGAAAGAUUAUAAUAUAUAUUGUGGUACAAAGUGUUUUGAUACAGAUCAGAUUUAUGCUCUCAGCCUAACUAUGUUUCAGUGGGCCCCGCCAAUGGGGAUUAUACAUUGGUACUCAGUGGA